rnacentral:rRNA from 1 species
AUCAUUGGGCGUAAGCGCCUGCAGGCUGUUUUUAAGUCUGUUGUUAAAGACUAGGGCUUAACCCUAGCAAAGCAAUGGAACUGCUAGACUAGAGUAUGGUAGGGGUAGAGGGAAUUUCUAGUGUAGCGGUGAAAUGCGUAGAUAUUAGAAAGAACACCGGUGGCGAAAGCGCUCUACUGGACCAUUACUGACACUCAGAGGACGAAAGCUAGGGUAGCAAAAGGGGAUUAGAUACCCCUGGUAGA